CUGCCCCGCCCCGCGCCGCCGGCCGCUUCCUGCCCCGCCCCGCCCGCGCCUCCGACUACCUCCUGCCCGGCCCCGCCCGCGCCGCCGGCCACCUCCUGCCCCGCCCCAUCUCCUCCUCAUCCGCGGAUUUCUUCGCUGUACACGGCUCCCCUGCACCUACUGGUCGCGACCUCACGGUAGGCAGAGAGGAUGGGAGGGUGCGGCGCUCGCGCCCGGAUCCCGGAGCUCGAGCGGACCGAUCUGCGCGUCGGCGACCUCGCGGUAGACAGAGGAUGGGAUGGUGUGCUGCGCUCGAGACGAGUGGGCUCGAGACGAGCGGGCUCGAGUAAGGAGAUUGGAGGGUGGGGCUCGCGGACGGGGAUGGAGAGGCGGGUGCCGGCAAGAUUGGGGGCGGGGAUGGAAAAGGCGGGGUCGGCAAGUUGGAAAUCUAAGGAUGGGAAGAGGCUGUGCUGCCGGCGGCCAUGAGUGGAGGAGGGCAUAAGCAGUGCUCCACCGUGGCGACCACCAGAUACCCUGCCUCCCGUUCAUCCCACGUUGUCACCGGCCUGCACCUCCGUGAGCUACCUGCCUUAGGAGUGUUUGGUGUGCACUCACAAGCUCGGCCAGGACACCAUCGAGUUUGACUUCCAGUUCAACGCUGAUGAAUUCUUCGAGCCCAACCACGGUCAGACUCCCCUUUCUCCUCCCAGUAGUUGUGCCACCCCUGAAGAAGAAACAUGGUGCCAAGUAAUUGAUUCACCCAGUUGUGUUUUCUUAAAUCUAGCAUAAGGAGCAUGUUAGAUUUCCAACAGACAUAACAUCCGAAAAAAUAAUCAUCAUUUACUUGAUUUCUCACACAAUUAACAGAAUCCACAAAAACAGCUUAACCAAACAAUUAGAGCAUGAGGAAGAGAUGAUUCAGACAGAGCUGCAGUUGAUGUGCCCCUGUGUGUGAAUUGCUGUUGUGCUAUGUGAGAGGUAAGAGCUUAAGAUGCCCACGACGCUGGCAUCGGCGCACUGAUUGUAGAGGCCGUUGCCAUGGUCAUUGCCCGGCGGUUCGUCCUUGAAUACCAAGCGGCUUGAUGACAACACCGGCAACGUUUCCUGUGAGCAACCAUCAACCUCAUAUUCAGAUGGUGUAAGCUCUUCAUUUGCUCACCAAAAUGAUUCGAAUUUUGUGUCAUGAUUUUGCACGUUGCGAUUAUUCCUUCUUACUGUAGUGUGAUGAUGACCGAGUACUGUUAAAUCUGUGAUGGCUGCACUUCUUCCUUGCAGGUGGCAAUCUGGCUCUGUAAAAUCUGUGAUGGCUGCAUUUCUUCCUUGCAGGUGGUAAUCUGGCUCUGUCUCCAUCCUCUGAAUCCAUCCUGACGUCUCAAACCUGUUUAGUUGCAUGCAACAUAUUACCACUCUUAUCAUCUUUCAAUACCAUAUAUGCGUGCAUCUGUCUAUUCCUCUUUUUUCCUCUUUCUUUCUUUUCUCAGUGCUCAGCUCCCCUGUAUGAUGCUUGUAAUGAGAUAGAUUGUCAGAGGCUGCACAUUGUGGAUUUGGUGGUAGAGGUGCAUGUCGGGAACGUGCACGGUGCAUCAACGCCGUGGUCUGCACCGUACCCAACGAAGGCCAUGGAGCCUGUGGGAGAGACGCAAAACCAAAUGGAACCCUCAACCUGAAGAUGUGGACUGCAAUGUUGCUCCUGGUAUAUAUUUGCUUCCACGGGAUAAUGCUCUAUUGCUGUUGUGGCCUCCUUGUGAUGCCUUCCCAGCUACCAUCUUCUUCACUGAAGCUACAUGAUAAAGUUUCAAAUUAUGAACUAGAUUUUUGCCAAUGGCAAUGUAUUAGUACUUUGUGUUAUGACUAAAGAAAGUACUUUGUGUCGGUAUCUGUCAUCAAACGUACAUUAGUACAGUUUGUAGUCAACCAAGCACAACUUCUGUGAUACUAAAAUUUUGCCGAUGGCAAUGUAUUAGUACUUUGUUUUCUGAAGAACCAAGUAGGAGCUCUGCCAAAAUACUGUUAAGAAGAGUGAAUGGAGUACUUACUGUGUAUAACUAUGGUUAUAACUAUCCAAAUUUUAUACGUAGAUUUUUCUUUUCAUAUUUAUAAGAUAGAAUCUCCUAUAAGCAAUAGUAUGGACGGAAUUUCUGCUGACUUACAUUUCUAUAAGAUUGAGAUAAUGAUACUACUGCUUAAAUCAUUACACCAAAGGUUGUAUACAAAGUCAAUGCCCCCUCGGUUAUACUGCCGAGAGCAUCCAUCACCAUGAUCAUGGGAGAGCAGGUUAGGCAUGUUACCACCAACAUGAUUUUUAAUGUUUCUUUCUUUGUAAUACUGAUCAUCUGUUUGACAUAGUGCCUAGCCAUGGUGCCAUGGUGCCAUGUGCAAGUCAUUGUUGAGGGCGCAUGGACAGAAUUGCAGAUCAAUAUCUAACACUAUGUGUCAGGUCUAGGAGACCGGGGCAUCCAGAUGAACCUCUUCGAGCAGUUUCACAUCAAAAGGAAGAUAAGAUGAGGCAGCAGCAGAUGGAUUGGGAGCUGCACUUCAUUAGUGCACCAUGACAUAGCGGCAAGGAUCGCUGACAAUUGGUACUCACCAGCCGCCCAGCACAUGCCAAGACCGCAUCUACAACCAUCAUGGAAUAUGUUUCAAGUCGGGAGAAGAUAACCAGUUCUAUUUUAACUUAGAAUAUGACGAUGAAUCAUAGCUCUGUGUGGAAAAUUCAAGUUCAUUUGAAAACCGUAUAUA